rnacentral:rRNA from 1 species
GACAGAGGUGCCGAGCGUUAGGCGGAAUCACUGGGCUUAAAGCGUGUGUAGGCGGGCGGGCAAGUACCUUGUGAAAUCCCACGGCUCAACCGUGGAACUGCUGGGUAUACUGGUCGUCUUGAGCCACCUAGGGGCGAGCGGAACAAAUGGUGGAGCGGUGAAAUGCGUAGAUAUCAUUUGGAACGCCAACGGUGAAAACAGCUCGCUGGGGGGUGUGCUGACGCUGAGACACGAAAGCCAGGGUAGCGAACGGG